rnacentral:rRNA from 1 species
UGUAAAACUACUGCCAGUCAGCAGCCGCGGUAAAACCAGCACCUCAAGUGGUCAGGAGGAUUAUUGGGCCUAAAGCAUCCGUAGCCGGCUCUGUAAGUUUUCGGUUAAAUCCAUGUGCUCAACAUAUGGGCUGCCGAAAAUACUGCAUAGCUAGGGAGUGGGAGAGGUAGACGGUACUCGGUAGGAAGGGGUAAAAUCCUUUGAUCUAUCGAUGACCACCUGUGGCGAAGGCGGUCUACCAGAACACGUUCGACGGUGAGGGAUGAAAGCUGGGGGAGCAAACCGGAUUAGAUACCCGGGUAGUCCCAGCUGUAAACGAUGCAGACUCGAUGAUGCAUUGGCAUAUAGCCAGUGCAGUGUCGCAGGGAAGCCGUUAAGUCUGCCGCCUGGGAAGUACGUACGCAAGUAG